rnacentral:lncRNA from 1 species
GGUGAGAAUUCUGUGAGAUUAUGCAUGCAAAGUGCUGAGCAUGGGGCCUGGCUCAUAGAAAGUAUCAAAUAAGUGGUAGACAAGUUGUCAUUUUCACUUGUGGUUGAUAAUUUCCACUUUUGCCUUUCUGCAGCCCAGAGACAGAAGCAGAUAAUGCAAGUGUCAUCUACAUCUGGCAAAAGCCAAAGGUUUGGAAGAUGGAAAAAGGAAUCCAGGCAAAAAGGAGCCCAAGAUUGAAGUGAAUGACCAGGUGCACCAGUUCAAAUGCAAUCAGGAGGGACAGGGGUAGAGGGAGAAGCCUAGAGCAGCGCUUCUCAAACUGACUAUUCAAGUCACCUGGAGAUCUUGGUGAAAUGCAGACUCUGGUGCAGUAGGUCCUGGCGGGAACUUGAAAUUCUGCAUUUUGACCAAGGUCCAAGGUGAAUGUCCAGUGCUGUUGUCCUUGGCCUGCAGCAGGAGGAGCAGGGAUCUAAGACUUGGAGAGCAAAUGUCAAGCUCAGAAGAAAGACUGGAAGUUUGGGGACAAAACCCAAAUAUGGCUAAAGAAAGCCUGUAGGAUGAAGUUGGAAGUUCCAGAGCCUUCUCUUCACAUAAUGGGACAUGCAAGGGGGAAACCAAAUCAAAAGUGUAGAAUGCGUCGCUGGAUGUCUUUGACAUGUUAUUGUUCUGAUAGAAUAUCAGCGGGGAGCUACUGAGGACCUCCUCACUACCCUCCCUUGGAAGAGUUUGUCUGCAAUGGAGCCAACACAGUGGAAAGCAGAGCUGAGAAAUGGACAAACAACUCCUGAUGCCUCAUUUGAGCACCUGGAUUUAGCCAUGUCUGAAGCUAUUAUAUCCUUGAACUUUUGAAUCAUGCACUGUUUUAAGUCCCAAAGAAAGAGGCAGAGGAGCGACAGAGAUGACUUCCUCCCUUGAAAACGAAGCAUGUGGCCUGACAACCUAAAAUUGGGGUCAAUCCAUCCAAUUAUGGUGACUGCUUAGAAAUAUCCCUUUUCCUCCCAACGUUUUCCUUUCCUUCUCCCAUAAACAUAAUAAUGUCUCCUGCCAGUACUAAGGCAUGGCCCAUGGACCCACUAACACCUAUGCUCACGUUAGCUCUUGAGGCCGAGUGGCUUGGUUCUAUCUGGUUAUCAGAUGCAAACUUCAUCACAGCAGGGAUUUGGGCUAGACAUUAGAGGAAUAGUGUGGUACCAGAUGGUGUUUCUGAAGAAGGUUGUCCUAUUUUUGCAGUUUAAGGAUUUGAUAAUAAAUCUGCCUGGCAGCCCUCAGAUGUGAUUUGGCCUUGA